AAUGAACGCUGGCGGCAUGCCUAACACAUGCAAGUCGAACGAGACCUUCGGGUCUAGUGGCGCACGGGUACGUAACGCGUGGGAACCUGCCCUUAGGUUCGGAAUAACUCCCCGAAAGGGGUGCUAAUACCGGAUAAUGUCUUCGGACCAAAGAUUUAUCGCCUUUGGAUGGGCCCGCGUUGGAUUAGCUAGUUGGUAGGGUAAAAGCCUACCAAGGCGACGAUCCAUAGCUGGUCUGAGAGGAGGACCAGCCACACUGGGACUGAGACACGGCCCAGAAUCCUACGGGAGGCAGCAGUGGGGAAUAUUGGACGAUGGGCGAAAGCCUGAUACAGCAAUGCCGCGUGAGUGAUGAAGGCCUUAGGGUUGUAAAGCUCUUUUACCCGGGAUGAUAAUGACAGUACCGGGAGAAUAAGCUCCGGCUAACUCCGUG
rnacentral:rRNA from 1 species